GACGAACCGUGCGAACGUUGUUCGGAAUCACUGGGCUUAAAGGGCGCGUAGGCGGCGACCCAAGUCCGGGGUGAAAGCCCCCGGCUCAACCGGGGAAGUGCCUUGGAUACUGGGUCGCUCGAGGGAGGUAGGGGUCGAGGGAACUUCUGGUGGAGCGGUGAAAUGCGUUGAUAUCAGAAGGAACGCCGGUGGCGAAAGCGCUCGACUGGACCUCUGCUGACGCUGAGGCGCGAAAGCCAGGGGAGCAAACGGG
rnacentral:rRNA from 1 species